GCUAGUGUGGUACAGUGGUUAGAGUGUCAGGGUAGGACCUGGGAGGCCAGGGUUCAAAUCCCUGGUCAACCA